AAGCAGACAGGUGUUCCUGAUUGGUGUGGCUUUCCGAAACUGAGAGUGCGCAGAUUUGUCCAUUCAGUCAACCCGACCUCCCUGACUUGAGGUCAGAGGGAGCUGACAUGAUGUGGGAAGAAAGGACGGGAGGAGGAAAAGAUGUCUGCGAGGUGUCAGAGAAGAGGAGAGAAAAGGAGACAGGCCUUUUCCUUCCUGACAAAAUGAUGCAAGUGUUUGUGAAAGGAGGAGGGAGCCCAGUUCUGCUGCAGUUGCUGUCUCUGUCUUUCCUCAUCCUGCCUCUGAAGGGUUGAAGUCACGGUCAGGACCUUUAAAUGGGGUUGCCGUUCCUGUCUUUCCACCAAUCACAAGACCUGCUUUCGAGAAGUGCUGUUGCAAG